ensembl:lncRNA
GGGGAUUACUCCUUGUGAGUUUUCUUGUGAGCCUAUGAUAUUGAUCUCUUCUGGAGGCGAGAAAGUGGGAAGUCAGCCACAUAUCUCUGUCAUAGUUGAGGAUACUGUUAACUGAAUUUGUGCAAAGUGGCUACUUGUAUGAUCAGCAACUGGCUGGACUGAGGUGGCAGUGAUGAACUGGCUGUACCCGGGCUGCUGCUCUGCAUCUGGCCUGAGGCAGCUGCCUGGAACUGUAAAGCUACUCCAUAUAAAGGUGAAGAUUUUGUUUCUUGGACAUCCCUUCUGCCUGGAACUUUCACUAGCCUUUGGCAUAAAGCAAAAUAAGAUAAAACAUAACAAAAACACCUGUAUGAACUUACUGGCUUUUGUGUUGAGUCUGGUGAAGACGUAUUUUUCUGUCAAAUAAGGUCUGCUGCCAGUGGGGAAAAUG